ACUGGGCGUCGUGGCGGGCGUCUGUGAGUCAGCUUCUUGACAGUAGAUAAGUGUGGAUGGAGUGAAGGGAGGAGUCCUGUAGGUGUUCUGGCAACGUCGACCGAGCGUCCGUGCCAAGCGCUGCGUCACCAGGGGCUAUUUGACGGAAGUCGAGUAGUCCCGGGUGGAUAAGGAGAGGUGUAUGGCUCAGGGCCGAAAGGCAGCAGGCAAAAGCCUCCGCGCGGUGCAGUGGCCGGAUAGCGCUUGUGAGUUGUCAAACACCUACAGCCUUCCUGAUACCUUCAGACCACUUGUCAC
rfam:Caenorhabditis tropicalis strain JT1373 unplaced genomic scaffold Scaffold629, whole genome shotgun sequence.